rnacentral:rRNA from 1 species
GACGUAGGGCACGAGCGUUGUCCGGAUUUAUUGGGCGUAAAGAGCUCGUAGGCGGCUCGUUGCGUCGGCUGUGAAAACCCGCAGCUCAACUGUGGGCUUGCAGCUGAUACGGGCGGGCUGGGAUUCGGUAGGGGAGACUGGAAUUCCUGGUGUAGCGGUGAAAUGCGCAGAUAUCAGGAGGAACACCGGUGGCGAAGGCGGGUCUCUGGGCCGAUAUCGACGCUGAGGAGCGAAAGCGUGGGGAGCGAACAGG